CCAAUAGCGUAUAAUAAAGUUGUUGCAGUUAAAAAGCUCGUAGUUGAAUUUCGGGGUUAGUAGGUCGGUCAUGCCUCCGGUAUGUACUGAUCUCACUGAUUCCUCCUUCCUUAUGAACCGUAAUGCCAUUAAUUUGGUGUUGCGGGGAAUUUGGACUGUUACUUUGAAAAAAUUAGAGUGUUUAAAGCAAGCUAACGCUUGAAUACAUUAGCAUGGAAUAAUGAAAUAGGACGUUCGAUCUUAUUUUGUUGGUUUCUAGGAUUGACGUAAUGAUUAAUAGGGAUAGUUGGGGGCAUUAGU
rnacentral:rRNA from 1 species